UCCCAUCGAUUUAGCUCGCCCAUAACCUGUUUGUGUCGGAUCCGCCCUACCCAAACUGAAUCAUAUGUGUUUGCUUUGAUUCAGUUUUGCAGAUGCUACGAGUUGCUAUUCCCGCCGUGCUGGUGCACUCCGCCGGAGCUCCAGAAACCGUCCAGGUCGCCAGGUUGCUGCUGCCGGUGUCCACCACGACCUGCUGCACCAUGGCGUUGCUCCGUCCGUCGGAAGGAGGAGAGCAUGAGGAUGAGCACAAGCAGCUGGCACAAAGGCAGGUAGUCCCAAGGUUGAAUGUCUAAAAAAGGGGAUGGUCUUGGCCUCGCGCGUGGCGGUCUGGUCCACCGAGUCCUCUGGCUAAUUUGGUCAGGCCGUUCAGGCUGUGGUGGUGCACCGUGGUUGUCCCUUCUUUGACUCCAUGUGUUUUAUGGGGGAGUUUCUUGCUCCUCUCUGUGAUCUCUAAAUCUUGUUUAGUAUUUGGACCUCAAAUAUGUGUGAAGUCUGAAUUGCUUUCUUGGAUAUAGUGGAUGUACUUGCUUGUGUGAAACGAAUCGUGCUCCUGCACCUAAAGAAUGCGUUUUCCGUUUGCUUGUUCUAGUUAGGUGCAUAUCUUGUAUGUUGGACCGCAGGUUGGAUCCUCCUAUGCUGGUUCCGUUCCGCCAUGUAGACAUGUUGAUAGUUGUUGUCCACAAAAAAUGAUUUAUUUGCUUCAAUGGUGAAUUGAUUGGUUAUGUAGACAUGUUCAUUGGUUGGGACUUAAUUUUUUAGUAGUUGUCAUAUACUUUUGUUGGAGCACGCUGAACAUUGGCCAACAAUAUAUGCUCAUGUUGGGUUGGUCGUUGUGCUUUGUUUGCAUAUUUUGAGUAUUAUCCUCCUUUGUGAUUUACUGCAGGAGGAGCACAAGCUGCUGGCACAAAGGCAGGUAGUCCCAAGGUUGAAUGUCUAAAAAAGGGGCUAGGUCAUGCCGACAUUUUCCAUUACAUGCAGAGGGAGAUGACGAAUCUUGGCUGCACAGUCUGGAUCAAGGAGUGGCUGGAGCUGGGCAAGGGUGGCACGACGCUGAUCCCGAGGCAG